GCAGUCCUCUGCAAGCACACUUAAUGUAUAAAAAAGCAGCCGGGCGCUGUGACUCACGCCUGUAAUCCCAACACUUUGGGAGGCCGAGGUGGGCGGAUCACUUGAGGUCAGGAGUUCUACAUCAGCCUGGCCAACAUGGUGAAACCCCUUCUCUACUAAAAAUACAAAGAUCAGCUGAGGGUGGUGGCGCGUGCCUGUAAUCCCAGCUACUCAGGAGGCUGAGGCAGGAGGAUCGCUUGAACCCAGGAGGUGGAGGUUGCAGUGAGCCCAGAUCUCGCCACUUCACUCCAGCCUGGGCAACAGAGACUCCGUCCAAAAAAAAGCCUGCAUAUAAUCUGGGCUUACAAGCACCAAGGACAUUCCUGCAGAUUACCCUCAGACACUGGAGGGAGCCGGAAGUACCUCGGAGUUUUAUGUUUCACCUCGUUCCACAACCCUGGAUAGCCAAAGACAGGCUGAUGAAGAGCACCAAAGCCCAGCUCCUUUGUGUUGAGGCAGGAAAAACUCUGAGGUGUGUUCUUUGUUCUAAAGCUUCCCGUGUGAUCAGGCUGAGUGUAGGACUUCGGAAAUCAUGCUCUCGCUUGGCUUCUUCCCAUUCCCUGUCCUUCAUCCCCCACUCCUUUACUGUUCUUUUCCUAGGAGCCCCCCACUUUUUUUUUUUUGAAACAGAGUUUCACUCUUCUUGCCCGGGCUGGAGUGCAAUGGCACGGUCUCGAAGAGCCCUUUCUUAACAAGUCAUUUGCAUCCAAAUCUUUGGCUCAGGGCCUGCUUUUGCAAGACUCCACCUAAGACACUCGCUGACUCUUCAGAUGAUGAAAAUGGCAUGCACACUUGCAGACAGCUAAGGAUUCUGUCUUCGUCUUUCUGUUGCUAUAGCAGAAUACCUGAGAUCAGGUAAUAUACAAAAAAAAGAGGCCAGGUGAGGUGGCUCAUGCCUGUAAUCCCAUCUUUUUGGGAGGCCGAAGACUGGAGGAUCUCUUGAGGCCAGGAGUUUGAGACCAGCCUUGGCAACAUAGUAAGAAUCUGUCUCUACAAAAAGUUUUUAAAAACUAGCGAUGCGGCCGGGCGCAGUGGUUCAUGCCUGUAAUCCCAGCACUUUGGGAGGCCAAGAUGGGUGGAUCAUGAGGUCAGGAGAUCG
rnacentral:lncRNA from 1 species